UUUUAUCUCAGAGAAAACAGACGUACAUGUUACCCCUCCCUCCAGGCUCCAGUAAAAAAAAGUCCCCUGUUGGCUUCGCUCGAAAAAGGAUAAAAAAGUCCAUCCCCACCAGGCUACACAUCCAGAUGCGCCACCGCACCACCGCCUCCGAUUCGCAGCCGGGGAUGGAAGAUGUCGUUGCUGACCUUCACAGAAGAUGCAAGCCCUAAUCAUGGAGAUCCGGGGUGGACCAAGAAGCAGGGUCGAACUCUUUGAGUUGGGUGUUAGGUCGUUGGUAGCAGGCCAUCCAUGUCUUGGCGGCAUUGAGAACAAAAAAAUGGUUGCUGGAGGGAGGCUGAUUGUGAUGGAUCUGAGCAGAGGAGACACACCGGCCAUGGUCCAUGAGAAGUAUGUAUCGGAGUAUAUCCGUAUAAGCAUAUUGGGGGAGAAAUAGCUAUUUGCAGCCUUUUUAGUUGCUCAUGUUUUUGGAUUUGUACCAAUGUAAGUGUUGUACUUCAUUGUGUCCUUUCUAAUGCAGAUUAUCUUAUGUGCUUCCUUCUAGGAUAUUAUAUUAAUCUUGUGUUUUAGGAGAUGGUUAUGCUAUUGAAGAUUUUCUCAUGGACUUCUUAAAUUGAAAAGGCCAUAAGCUACCAGUUCACAUGAUAAUUUGGUAGCUGAAACUUUAUUAUUUUUUGGCUGAAAAUAAAUAUGAAUUUUCAAAAUUAGACAAAAGUCUAAAAAUUUAGAAGUGUGUACUGUGAAUAAAUAAACCACCUUUUUAUCAAGCAUGUGCUGCUUGUUCAUUCCAUGUUUUAACACGGUGCCCACCCCAUCGUCCAUCAAUUCCUGUGUAAGAUUUAUAGUUAGAGAAUUGUAAACAUGAUACUUUAUUUUUAAAAGAAAACACCUUUACCUGUAAAAGACCAACAAAAGUGCAUGUAUGAAUGUAUUUGAAAAGAAUUACAGUUUGCAUCACACUCUUAUCAUAUGAUAAGAUUCUUCUUAUCUUGGUAGCUGCCAAGUACUCAUACUAUAUCUACGUAAAUAAAUAGUCUGCCUUUACUAUUCGUAAGCUACUAAUCAAUCGAUCUUUUGGAUAAAUUCCUUGUUCACUUAGGCCUUCCAUUUUCCAUAGGCAAAUAUCAGAGUCUUCAUCUUCAAGAGUUGUAAUUACCUUUUACUUUUGCAUGCACCAGUUUUUUGUUCUCGCAGGUAUUUUUGCUUUCUUUCUACAACACUUGUCUCGGUGCGUCCAUCCUCCAAGACACCUAAUAAUGCAAUACAUCUUCGUUUAUCAUAGUCAUUGAGGAGUCCAUAUGAUGAUGAUAUUUUGUCUCAAUGCCUAUCUUUGUUCAGCAUAGUCCCAUUAAUAUCGUGUGGUUCUUUUUUCUUAGGCACCAGUACACAUAACCUUUUCCUUUGUCGGUCAUCAUUAUUCUGUGACUGCAAAAUGAAAUGCAUUUAAGAAUAAUACAUGCUUAAAAAUCUAAAAGUGUGUAUGGUGGAAACAUUAAUCUCCCUUUUAGCUCGCAUGUCUUGCUUCUUCGUUUCUUGUUCCAACACGGUGUCCACUUCGUCAUCUAUCAACUGUUUGGCAUACUGCAAGAUAAGUCAGUGAGUAAGAACAGAAAAGAUAGCACUUAGUUAAUUAUUUUGAUGAAUUAAAUGCACCUUUACCUCCUCAGCUUUAUUAUUCAAGUACAACAUCUCUAGCGAGGCAUAAAUCUUCUUUUUACUGCCUAGUUUUGCUUGCCAAAAAUAAGAAUACUAUUGUUGAGCUUGAAUCUAAAGAUAAUUUAACCUCGCCAUUAGAUGACAGACAUCGCGCAUCUGAGUCUUCAUUGUUAAACGUUGUAUUUUUUUUACUUUUUCUUCGAUGUGUUAUUAGUAGACCAGAAUAGAUAGUGUUUCAUACUUGUGAAGAAGAUCUUGAAUUUUGGAUAUAUCUAGAUCCCUAUGUAUUCUUCGCACAUGUUGACUUUAUGCACAAACCCAUCAACAAUUAAUCUAUUACAUAUUUUUGUUUUGUAAUUAAAAGAUGAGAUUUCGAAAUUUAUUGGACUUACAAUUGCAUUUUUGCACCAUCGUUUAGGUCACUGUAAGGACGGUUUGGUUUUGGAGUACAUAUUCAUCCAAAUAAUAAGCAAACAUUCCGAUAUUGUAACUUUGGUUUCAUCCCAAGAUGUUAAGCCUGAAAAUUUAAUGCCGACCGCAAUGGAGGAAGUUAAAACUUAAGACAUUGGUGAGAAGGAAACUCAGAUGGCUGGGUGUAACUUCUAUAGAAAUCGAGUUGCAUAACAUUUCAUAAUUUGGGCUGGCUUCGAUAUUUGUUGUGCGCCGAGUCUGAACAUCUUGCGUUAGAGUCUGUUGGCUUCAAUUUUCUUGGUGGUGGCAUAGUCAAGUCAUGGCAUCGUAGAGCUGAAUGGCUUCAGUUUUCUUGGUAUGGUGCUGAGUCGCGAGUUGCUGGGGAUUUCCAUGGUGGGCGUGUGCUGGCUGAUGGCUGCGGCAGGCUGUAUUUUUAUGGAUGAGUUCUUGCCGUUGUUUUUAUGGAGUCCUUGUAUGUUUAUAUUUCCAAUUAAAGGACAUAUGUGACAACAUGAUGAUGGAAGCGGCCAGCCGUGUAUUUUAAUGGUGACCGUGUCCGUAUGCACUCCUUUGCAUGUGUAUGUGUUUACGUGCUCUUGGCUUACCGAGUUAGGUACGUGUCCUUCCAAGUUCUGAUUAGGCAUUGUAUGUGACAAUUGUUGACACGUAACUUCUACUUUUUUCAA